GCCGGGUGUGGUGGUGCACACCCGUAAUCCCAGCUACUCAGGAGGCUGAGGCAGGAGAAUCGCUUGAACCCGGGAGUCAGAAGUUGCAGUGAGCCAAGAUCACAUCACUGCACUCCAGCCUGAGUGACAGAGCAAGACUCUGCCUCAA
ensembl:misc_RNA Metazoa_SRP Metazoan signal recognition particle RNA